GUGUGGUAGGGGCAGAGGGAAUUCCCGGUGUAGCGGUGUAAUGCGUAGAUAUCGGGAAGAACACCAGUGGCGAAGGCGCUCUGCUGGGCCAUAACUGACGCUCAUGGACGAAAGCCAGGGAGCGAAAGGGAUUAGAUACCCCUGUAGUCCUGGCCGUAAACGAUGAACACUAGGUGUCGGGGGAAUCGACCCCCUCGGUGUCGUAGCCAACGCGUUAAGUGUUCCGCCUGGGGAGUACGCACGCAAGUGUGAAACUCAAAGGAAUUGACGGGGGCCCGCACAAGCUGUGGAGUAUGCGGUUUAAUUCGAUGCAACGCGAAGAACCUUACCAGGGUUUGACAUCCUGCGAACCCCUGAGAACUCGGGGGGUGCCUUAGGGAACGCAGUGACAGGUGGUGCAUGGCUGUCGACAGCUCAUGUCGUGAGAUGUUGGGUUAAGUCCCGCAACGAGCGCAACCCACGUCUUUAGUUGCCAGCAUUCAGUUGGGCAAUCUAGAUAGACCGCCGGUGAUAAACCGGAGGAAGGUGUGGAUGACGUCAAGUCAUCAUGCCCCUUACAUCCUGGGCUACACACGUACUACAAUGCUACGGACAAAGAGCAGCGAUCGCGCGAGGGCUAGCAAAUCUCAUAAACCGUGGCUCAGUUCAGAUCGUAGGCUGCAACUCGCCUACGUGAAGGAGGAAUCGCUAGUAAUCGCAGGUCAGCAUACAGCGGUGAAUACGUUCCCGGGCCUUGUACACACCGCCCGUCACACUAUGGAAGUUGGCCACGCCCGAAGCCGUUACUCCAACCCUUGUGGAGGAGGACGUCGAAGGUGGGGCUGAUGACUGGGGUGAAGUCGUAACAAGGUAGCCGUACCGGAAGGUGCGGCUGGAUCACCUCCUAA
rnacentral:rRNA from 1 species